CGUUAGCGGCGGACGGGUGAGUAACACGUGGGUAACCUACCUAUAAGACUGGGACAACUUCGGGAAACCGGAGCUAAUACCGGAUAAGAUAUCGAACCGCAUGGUUCGAUAGUGAAAGAUGGUUUUGCUAUCACUUAUANAUGGACCCGCGCCGUAUUAGCUAGUUGGUGAGGUAACGGCUCACCAAGGCAACGAUACGUAGCCGACCUGAGAGGGUGAUCGGCCACACUGGAACUGAGACACGGUCCAGACUCCUACGGGAGGCAGCAGUU
rnacentral:rRNA from 1 species